rnacentral:lncRNA from 1 species
GAUCUUCCAGUCUGCGCCCGAGGCGGAUAUUUGUCUUGCGGGCCCGGAUGAGUCCGACCCCCUGCGCCCUAGGUCGGGCGAGACGGAGUCUUGCGGCGGGGGGUCGGGUGCUCCCGACCCUAGGCCCCUGGGUCGGGCGAGGCGGAGUCUUGCGGCGGGGGGUCGGGAGCGUCCGACCCCGAGGCAAUGGGUCGGGCGAGGCGGAGCGGGGCUCUCCCCUCCCAUGUUGGGCCGACGGCAAUCUUCA